GGCCUUGCCACUUGAUAUCAAAUCCACGAUCUGAGCUACACCAACAUGACAAGACAUACAAACGAGCAUAAGUAACUGGAAAUAGUCAUCUUCAGCAACCGAUCAAGACGUAUACAAAAAUUUAUAGAGAACUGAGCACAAGAUAACCAAACAAGUAUUAUCAAAUUGAUCCAUGUCGUUGAACCAAAAGGCAUCCAAAAGCAGCAGGCUGAAUUUGAAUCCACAAUCCAAACUACAUCAAGUCAUGACAGACAUACAAACAAUAAAUAAUCGGAAACAGAAAUCUUAAGCAACCGAUCAAUAUAAAUGCAAGCUUUCAAGAA